rnacentral:rRNA from 1 species
UACGUAGGGUGCGAGCGUUGUCCGGAAUUAUUGGGCGUAAAGAGCUUGUAGGCGGUUUGUCGCGUCUGCCGUGAAAAUCCGGGGCUCAACCCCGGACUUGCGGUGGGUACGGGGCAGACUAGAGUGUGGUAGGGGAGACUGGAAUUCCUGGUGUAGCGGUGAAAUGCGCAGAUAUCAGGAGGAACACCGAUGGCGAAGGCAGGUCUCUGGGCCACUACUGACGCUGAGGAGCGAAAGCGUGGGGAGCGAACAGG